rnacentral:rRNA from 1 species
GACGAACGCUGGCGGCGUGCCUAAUACAUGCAAGUUGAGCGAUGAAGCUUGGUGCUUGCACCAAUUUGAAGAGCAGCGAACGGGUGAGUAACGCGUGGGGAAUCUGCCUUUGAGCGGGGGACAACAUUUGGAAACGAAUGCUAAUACCGCAUAACAACUUUAAACAUAAGUUUUAAGUUUGAAAGAUGCAAUUGCAUCACUCAAAGAUGAUCCCGCGUUGUAUUAGCUAGUUGGUGAGGUAAAGGCUCACCAAGGCGAUGAUACAUAGCCGACCUGAGAGGGUGAUCGGCCACAUUGGGACUGAGACACGGCCCAAACUCCUACGGGAGGCAGCAGUAGGGAAUCUUCGGCAAUGGACGAAAGUCUGACCGAGCAACGCCGCGUGAGUGAACAAGGUUUUCGGAUCGUAAAACUCUGUUGGUAGAGAAGAACGUUGGUGAGAGUGGAAAGCUCAUCAAGUGACGGUAACUACCCAGAAAGGGACGGCUAACUACGUG